rnacentral:rRNA from 1 species
GACGAACGCUGGCGGCGUGCUUAACACAUGCAAGUCGAGCGGUAAGGCCCUUUCGGGGGUACACGAGCGGCGAACGGGUGAGUAACACGUGGGUGACCUGCCCUCAGCUCUGGGAUAAGCCUGGGAAACCGGGUCUAAUACCGGAUAUGACUCCAUGACGCAUGUUGUGGGGUGGAAAGCCUUGUGCGGCUGAGGAUGGGCCCGCGGCCUAUCAGCUUGUUGGUGGGGUGANGGCCUACCAAGGCGACGACGGGUAGCCGGCCUGAGAGGGCGACCGGCCACACUGGGACUGAGACACGGCCCAGACUCCUACGGGAGGCAGCAGUGGGGAAUCUUGCGCAAUGGGCGAAAGCCUGACGCAGCGACGCCGCGUGAGGGAUGACGGCCUGGUGUAACU